AAACUAAGUUCUACUGAGGAUCGAUUGGAAAGGGUUUUUUGGAUAUCAACACUGCACACUUCAUUUCCCACAACAUAGGCCCUGCAUUUAAUUAUACCUCAUGGAAUGGUCUUAAUUUCAACUAUGUACAGUUAAUAGCUGCCAAUGCGAAGAUGACAGAUGCACAUCACUGUAAGGAAGAAAUGUUUAUUCCAACUCUCAAAAAAGUAUCUAACUAAAAUAAUAAUGGAUUGCAUUUAUAUAGCGCUUUUCGGGGCCCUCAAAGUGCUUUACAAUACCACUAUUCAUUCACUCUCACACACUGGUGGAGGCAGCUACAGGUGUAGCCACAGCUGCCCUGGGGCAGACUGACAGAGGUGAGGCUGCCAUAUCGCGCCAUCGGCCCUUCUGGCCACCACCAGUAGGUGGUAGGGUAAAGUGUCUUGCCCAAGGACACAACGACAGAGACUGUCCGAGCCGGGGCUCGAACCGGCAACCUUCCGAUUACAAGACGAACACCCAACUCUUGAGCCACGAUCGCCCUAAAAAAAAAAGAAAAGAAAAAAAAAAGGACUAGAAGGACAGAGAAAACUCGGCAACACAAUCCGAGGUUUUAGAUGUACGUUGGGUUAGUGACUCAUGGAAAAAUUUCCUUCGAAGACUUACUGAAGAGUGUGAGAAGUGGGUACUUAUAUUUUAAGACCUGCAGCAGGCAGGGAGGAGUUAUUGGUGCACACUUGCUUUGUCAAAGUCAAGAAGGUCUGUGGAAGGUCUUUUUCAAGUGUGACACUCAUUGCUGCAGACUAUUUACUCGCGCUUGUGCUUUUAUUUAUCGGGUGGUUCCACACCAUGAAUUAUCUAAUGUCUUAUGGACUGUAAAUUUCCCCAAUGCAGUCCUGCGCCCUUCCUGUACACUUAACUACAAACAUACGCAUGUGUGCACACAAGCCGAGCACAAUCACGAGACAAUCGAGGUCCUCCUCAGAUGACUCCCUCAAGUUUACAAAGUAUUAAGGCACCCGAACGCCACAUUUGUUUGCAAGGGGUAAGUGAUGGAAGCAUCUGCCGUAACAAACCC
ensembl:lncRNA